UCAGAUUGCUUUAUCUUUCCUUCAUUGGUAAAAAUCUGAUUCUGCGGGGUUUUCCCAAAAUUUUCUGAUAAAAGCCGCGCACAACCAUUUUGAAUAUACAGAAUACGGCUAUUAUUAAAGAGAAGAUGGACAACAGAAGUGAUAACCAUUAAAAGAAAUAAACUAACACUAAAUACACAAGAGAAAUCAGUGUCAUUAAGGUUUUUUAACUAACUAUACAUAGAUUUCCAUAGAUUGUAAUGGCAAUAUAAUGUGUGUUACGAGUAAGUUAUGUGUGUUUGAGAAUGUAUUUACAGUCUCUGUGGAUAAAGAAGUAAAAAAAUUGUUGGAAAAAAACUUCAUAAAAGACUGCAUAUAAAUGCUGUAAUGCCAAAAGGAAAAUACUGGGUUAGGCAGCCAAUGGUAAGUUUUUAUUAAAUUUGAUUUGAGAUUUGAAAUUUGAUUUGAGGUUUAAUUUGAAAAAAAAUAUAAAAGUAAUGUUGUGUAGUGGGUUGCACGUACUAUUACUUUCAGUUAAAAAGUCCAAAAAUCAACGUGAUAGAAUAUAAUUAAUUGGAUAUAACAAUUUAAUUGCUAUGUUGUGCUUUUUUUAUGGUUUAUAGAGAACAGACAAAAGAUAUUGCCGACAGAAACGAUGGUGAAAGCAUUAGAGAACAAAGAAUCUUUACAACAAGUGAAGGUUAGUCCGAACAUAUUAACUGUUUUCAUGUUAGAGAAAUGCUCGAAUGUUCGUUGUUAUCAAUCUCAAGAAACCCUUUCGUAUUAACGAAUAAGAUUUGUUCCAUUUUUAUUUAUCUUAUCUUUAGUGAAGAAACUCAAAGUCGCGAUAACCUAGAUUCACAGCAAGCAUGACGAAUUCAUGGUGGUUCAGUUAAAUUUAAAAUAUAAAAUUAUUGAUAGAUAGACAAUUGUCAACCAGGCCUUAACUUUUGCAAUCUUAAAGUUAAAGUCCAAUAGACAAGUAAAAAUUAGGGCCUAAAAAUAUUUUUCCGUUCGACUUCCUUUUGAAUAUUUUUCAUUUUGUGUCGUAGUGUAAAACGUUUGUAAUAUUUUUUUGCAUAUUGGAAAAAGCUGCCAAAAGGGAACAAAUCCAUAGUUCAGCUUGUUUUGAUUAACCACAAAAAAAGCUUAGGGAUGAAUUUCCCGUAUUUAAAAGCAAUCCAUACACAUUGUUUCAGUAAAUUCGGUCUUUGAAAAAAACACGUUUGGGGAGAUAAUUUACCCGCAUUAAGAAGCAAUCCAUACAAGCAAUCCAUGAUAUUCAGUUCUUUUAGUAAAUUCGGUCUUUAGAAAAAACAUUUACGGAGAUAAUUUACCGGUAUUAAGAAGCAAUCCAUACAUAUAAAAUUCAGUUGUUUUAGUAAAUUCGAUUUUUGAAAUAUAUAUAUAUAUAUAUAUGAACACAAAUUGUAGCUAUAGGAAUAACCAACAAGAUAGAUGACUACAUCAAGAAUUAAGUAAAAAGAUUUUAUUAUUUAAAAUUUUCGUCAGUUCAUCGACUGACUUCUUCAGUAUCGCUUACAAUACAGUAUUAACAAUUAAAAUAUCUUAUAUAGUGAUAAAAAUAAAUUAUAUACAAUUAAAUACACAAGGGUUUAAAACUGGUUUCCAUCACCAUCAUCCUACUAUCAACUUAACACACGGUUUCUACAACUUGCAUUUUUCUGUUCUUUUAGUUCUAUUCCAGUCAUGAGAACCAUUAAGUCCCUGAUGUUGUGUGACGAGUGUCCCUAUCCAGAAUUUUUCUUUAUCUAAUAGCAAACUAUCAAUUUGCCUGUUUGUUAAAUUCUCUCCAUUGUUCACAACAUCAACUAUAAUAAACCCAAUAUUUUGCACGGAGGCAUUAGGGCAUUCAUCAAUAAAAUGUUUCACAACUUUGCAAGAUGGUAUCUUCUUUUUAAUGUGGGAUUUGUAAUUCGAAAGUCGAGGCUUCCAAGCAAUGUAAAAAUAUAUAAAAAAACAAGGACAGACUUAGCAACGUCAACGUUACGCAACUUUCAAAAUGGCCGUAAUAACACUGCUCUCUGCUUUACACAUCCCUUUGUCGUGGCUGCAAAAUCUCGGAUUGGUUUUUCAAAAAAAAUCAGGCGUUGCAAUUGAAUGCUACACGCGGGAGAAUAAAACAAAGUCGGUAAAUAUAUAUCGCAUUUGGUAUUUUGUGCAGAUA